GGGACCGGCCCAAGAAACAGCAACAACAACAACAACAACAACAACAACAAAAAAAAAGACAAAAAAAAAAAAAAAAAAAGAAAUCUGCUGAUAGCCUUAUGAGGGUUCUCUUGUAUGUGAUGAGUCAUUUUUCUCUUGCUAAUUUCAAGAUUCUCUCUUUGUCUCUGACUUUUAACAUUUUUAUUUAACGUAUGUCAGAGUAAUCUUUGUUGUGUUGAUUUUGCUUAGGGGCUUUUGAACUUCCUAUAUGUGGAUGUUCAUAUCUGUCCCAAGAUUUGGGACGUUUUCAGCUAUUAUAUAUUUAAAUACGCUUUCUUCUCUUGAGACUACCAUGAUGUAAAUGUCUGUUCCUUGAUGGUGACCCAUAAUUCAUGUAAGCUUUCUUCACUUUUUUUUUUGCUUUUUUUUUAAGGGCUUCACCUGCAUCAUGUGGAAGUUCCCAAGCUAUGGGCUGAAUUGGAGCUGUAGCUCCUGGCCUAUACCACAGUCACAGCAACUCAGGAUCCAAGCCGCAUCUGUGACUUACACCACAGCUCAUGGCAAUGCUGGAUCCUUAAUCCACUGAACAGGACCAGGGAUCAAACCUACAUCCUCAUGGAUACUAGUUUGAUUCUUAACCCACUAAGCCACAGUGGGAACUUCAUCUUCACUUUUUUAUUCUUUUUUUUUCUUUUUCCCUCUAACUGACUAAUCUCAAAUAAUUUGUUUCUGAGUUUGAUUCCUUGUUAUACGUGAUCAAGUCUAUUGUUGAAGCUCUCUAUUGAAUUUUCUAGGUCUGUUGUAUUCUUCAGCUUCAAGACUUCUGUUUGCUUCUUUCUGUGGUGUCUAUUUCUUUAUAAAUCUUCUCAUUUUAUUUAUACAUCAUUUUACAGAUUUUGUAAACAACUCUCCUUAAGGUAGUGAUUCUCUCUCUCUCUCUCUCUCUCUCUCUCUCACACACACACACACACACACACACACUGCCACUGGCCACAUACACAUUUUUAAGCCAGUGCCUAAACUAUUUUUUAAAGUUGGGUUGUACUAUUUGUGUCUGGGUGAGAUCUCUUGGAUAUUUCUCCAGAAGUAGAGCAUAUGAUUUGUGUUAAAAAUUAUAUAUUCUUCAGAACCACACACAAGCUAAUUAGAAAACCUUACCUUAAUGGCUGGGUCUAUCAUCCAUUUUACCUUGACAAAUAUUGACAGUUUCCUGAAGGCCAACCUUGUUCUUUCCAAGAUUUGUACAUAGCACCUUAUGGGAAAUGGGAGGCUUUAGUAAAUAUUAUUAAGGGUGGAGGUAAGUUAAGGCUAUGUCUUGGUCUUUUACAAUUAUCUUUCCAUUUACAUAUCUAACAAUUGGAAAAGACUAGUUUACAAUGGAAAAUUAAAAUCAAGGGUAAAAUUUUCAGUGAAAAUUUGUUUUACUGAACUAAAGGAUAAAACUCUGCGAUAAUAAAGACACAUAUUUCUUUUCUCUUAACACAGUUUCUCUUUCCAACUAUUUAUUUUGAAAACAUUUUAGACUUACACAAAAGUUUCAGCGAUUAUUGAGCGUCCCUGUUUAUCCUUCACUCACUUUCCUUUAAUAUUAACAUCUUACAUAACCAGGUAAAUGAUUGAAGUCAAAAAAUUUAACAUUAAUACAAUACUCUUAAAUGCCUACAGACCUUACUGAAAUUUCAUCACCUUUCCCACUAAUGUCCUUUUCCUGGUCUGGCAACCAACCCAAUGUUGCAUUCAGUUACCACGUUUCCUUAGUAUCUACAAGUCUAUGACACUUCCUAGGUCUUUCUUUAUCUAUCAUGAUCUUGAAACUUUUUAAAAUACUGGUCUGUUACUUUUUUAUAAUGUUCCUCAAUUUGGUUUUGCUUGUGGUUCUCUGAUAAUUAAAUUCACGUUUUGCAUUUUUGGCAAGAAAAAUCACAGAAAUGCUGUUUAGGUCUUUAAUCUGUAUUGAGUUUAUUUUGGUGUAUGAUGUUAAAGAAUGUUCUGAUUUCAUUCUUUUGCAUGUAGCUGUCCAGUUUUCUCAGCAUCACUUGUUGAAGAGACUCUUUUCUCCAUUUUACAUCUUUGCCUCCUUCGCCAUAGGUUAGUUGACCAUAAGUAUGUGGGUUUAUCUCUGGGCUUUAUUUCCUGUUUCAUUGAUCUAUAUCUCUUUUUUUAAUGCUAGUACCAUGCUGUUUUUAUGACUGUAGUUUUGUAGUAUACUCUGAAGCCUGGAAGUCUGAUUCCUCCAGUUCUGUUUUUCUUCUUCAAGAUUGCUUUGGCUAUUUGAGGUCUUUUGUGUUUCCACACAAAUUAAAACAAUUUUUUUUGGUUCUAGUUCUGUGAAAAAUGUCAUUGGUAAUUCGAUAGGGAUUGCAUUGAAUCUGUAGGUUGCCUUGGGUAGUAUAGUCACUUUGACAGUAUUGAUUCUUCCAAUCCAAGAGCAACUGUCAUGGAAUGCCUCCAGAUUUCUCACUUUCUUGCCAUCCCUCAGUAUGCAAAGCAAUACAUACUCCUUUCCCUGAAAAUUUUCAUUGUUGAGGAAAAAUUUGUAAGACUUUGAUCUGAGCAACAAAACCAACAAGGUUUUAUUGGGUCAUAUUCUAGAAUAUAAACACUUGUUUUAAGCCUGAAAUGAUUGGAUAGAAAUGACAAUUCAUAAAGUUUGGUUAUUUUUUCCCCCCUCAUAAUCCUGAGAAAGACAAAUAAAAUUUUUGUGCCAUGAGUAAGAGUUGUGAAGUGGUCAUCAGACUACAGUGUCUAUAGUUCCCAGAUUUGAUUUGUAUCAUAGAAUUUUCAGAGUUAUCUAGUUUAGCUUCUUUGUUUUACAAUGAGGAAAUUGUCCCAAUGUUUGGUAUACUGUUUUAUUUUUAUUUUUAUUUAUUUAUUUUUAUUGAAGUAUAUUGAUUUACAAUGUGUUGUUUCUGAUGUACAUACACGUGUGUGUGUGUAUAUGUAUAAAAUAUAUAAUGAUGUGUGUGUGUGUGUGUGUGUGUGUGUGUGUGUGUGUGUGAGUGAUAUUCUUUAUCCAUUCAUUUGUAGUUAGACAUUUAAGUUGCUCCCAUGUCUUAGCUAUUGUAAAUAGCACUACUAUGAACUUACGUGUGCAUGUAUCUUUUUGAAUUAUUGUUUUGUCUUGAAUAAUGCCCAGGGGUGGGAUUGCUGCAUCCCACCCCUAAAAAUAGUAACUCUAUUUUUAGUUUCUUGAGGAACCACCAUACUGUCCUCCAUGGUGACUGUGCCAAUUUACAUUCACACCAACAGCAUAGGUGGCUUCUCUUGUAUUGUUGAUGCUAGUUAUUUGUUUAAUGAAUGAGUUAAAUGACGUGCCUUAGUUUCACAGAGGUACCGUCAGCACCAGAACUCAAUAGGACACUGACUUGGCACCCAUUUCUUUGUGCAGGUACACAUUAAUCCCUAGAGUUGAUGCCUGUGUUUUGGGGCAUCUAGUGUUACUGAAGAAGCCCCAGACAGAGAAAGCAACUCAAGGUAGGGAGUAUAUCUGAUUAUUUCUCUCCUGUCAGGACCACUCAUAGGACUGUAUGAAAAGUAAAUCAUUUGCUGGUGGGGUUUAGUAAACUUUUUAAACUAAUCUGCAUUGUGAAGCCUGAAAAUCAAGCAGAUAAUUUAUAAAAGUAGAAAGGUGAGCUGCUCUUGACUUUUCAUUGAGAAAAAUCUAUCAGAAACUAACCUUCAAGCUUAGAAUUGCAGUGGGGUUAGUGGAGAUGGGCACUGGGGAUCAAGGGAAAAAUGUAGACUUUGAAUACUCUUAACCCAAAUCCAGUUAUGCUUCCUUGAAACUCUCCCACUCUGUCCCGGUGAAUGUGGUCAGGCAAUGUAGAAGCCUGUAGGGAGAAUGUCAGUAUUCAGGUUUCCUUGGAAAGUGACUUUUAUGUUUCUCUUUGAAAAAUUAACAUGGUUAAAUUCAUUUGAGUAAUAAAAAAAAAGAAAAA
rnacentral:lncRNA from 1 species